CAGUUCAGCACUGGGCCGUCUUCAGUCAUCCACCUCUCCAUGCCAGUCAUUGGUUUGCCUUGAAGUUAUGUUCUGCGCUCUCAUUUAAGCUCUGAUCUGUGCCCAGGUGUCCCUGAGAAACCUGCUGUGCUCUGGCUAGGCCUCUGCCUCCUGAGAACCAUGCUACCAGUCUCUGCCUACAAAGACUCUAGCUCUGGGCCGUCAGCUCCUGCCAUCACCUGCACCUCUGAGCUUCUGUAAUCCUGCUCCUCUGGCUUCAUCAUCUACCACCCAUCAUCUUCCCUUCAAUAAACCUCUCAAACUUUU